UGUGUAGCGGUGAAAUGCGUAGAGAUGUGGAGGAAUACCGGUGGCGAAGGCGGCCCCCUGGACAAAGACUGACGCUCAGGUGCGAAAGCGUGGGGAGCAAACAGGAUUAGAUACCCUGGUAGUCCACGCUGUAAACGAUGUCGAUUUGGAGGUUGUUCCCUUGAGGAGUGGCUUCCGGAGCUAACGCGUUAAAUCGACCGCCUGGGGAGUACGGCCGCAAGGUUAAAACUCAAAUGAAUUGACGGGGGCCCGCACAAGCGGUGGAGCAUGUGGUUUAAUUCGAUGCAACGCGAAGAACCUUACCUACUCUUGACAUCCAGAGAACUUAGCAGAGAUGCUUUGGUGCCUUCGGGAACUCUGAGACAGGUGCUGCAUGGCUGUCGUCAGCUCGUGUUGUGAAAUGUUGGGUCAAGUCCCGCAACGAGCGCAACCCUUAUCCUUUGUUGCCAGCGAUUCGGUCGGGGACUCAAAGGAGACUGCCGGUGAUAAACCGGAGGAAGGUGGGGGUGACGUCAAGUCAUCAUGGCCCUUACGACCAGGGCUACACACGUGCUACAAUGGCGCAUACAAAGAGAAGCGACCUCGCGAGAGCAAGCGGACCUCAUAAAGUGCGUCGUAGUCCGGAUUGGAGUCUGCAACUCGACUCCAUGAAGUCGGAAUCGCUAGUAAUCGUGGAUCAGAAUGCCACGGUGAAUACGUUCCCGGGCCUUGUACACACCGCCCGUCACACCAUGGGAGUGGGUUGCAAAAGAAGUAGGUAGCUUAACCUUCGGGAGGGCGCUUACCACUUUGUGAUUCAUGACUGGGGUGAAGUCGUAACAAGGUAGCCGUA
rnacentral:rRNA from 1 species